UACGAAGGGGGGCUAGCGUUGUUCGGAAUUACUGGGCGUAAAGCGCGCGCAGGCGGUCUUCCAAGUCAGUGGUGAAAGCCCGGAGCUCAACUCCGGAACUGCCAUUGAAACUGUUAGACUUGAGGACGAGAGAGGUGAGUGGAAUUCCCAGUGUAGAGGUGAAAUUCGUAGAUAUUGGGAAGAACACCGGUGGCGAAGGCGGCUCACUGGACCGGUAUUGACGCUGAGGUGCGAAAGCGUGGGGAGCAAACAGG
rnacentral:rRNA from 1 species